AUUCAAUAAAAGAAAUAAUUGACAAUUUCUUCCGAGUAUAUAAAUUGUGAAAAUUUUAUGUUAAACAACAAUCUCAACUAAGGUAUUAAAGAAGUGUAAACAAACCUGAGCAAUAAUUAGAAAAGAUGAAACUUUACACUAUUUUGCUUUUGUGCUUUACACUUUUCGUCUUGAGCGUCAAUGGUCAAUGUGCGAAUGAUGGUGAAAGGUGUAACAAAGCACGAUAUUGUUGUGGGAGUCUUGUAUGCGUUAAUAGAGUAUGUUUAAGACGAAGAGAUAAUUAAUAUGCGUUUGACAAGGCAAUCAAAAUUUUAAUUCUUAUUUAAAGUGACUUGAUGUUAAAAAAAUGUACACAAAUUAAUUUUUUUAAAUAAUUUUGAUUAUUAUUUCACAAAUCAAUAUUGUAAAAAACUAAUGUUUUAAAAA